rnacentral:rRNA from 1 species
CCUACGGGUGGCAGCAGUGAGGAAUAUUGGUCAAUGGGCGAAAGCCUGAACCAGCCAAGCCGCGUGAAGGACAGUGCCCUAAUGGCUUGUAACCUCUUUUUUUCGGGAGCAAUAAUGGGCACGUGUGGCCAGACGAGAGUACCCUACGAAUAAGCAUCGGCUAACUGCGUGCCAGCAGCCCCGGUAAUACGGGGGAUGCGAGCGUUUUCCGGGUUUUUUGGGUUUAAAGGGUGCGUAGGGGGAGGUUUAAGUUCGGGGUAAAAUGGCCGGGCUCAACCCGGGGCGGCCGUUGAUACUGGGGAUCUUGAGUGGGCGAGAGGUAUGCGGAAUGCGUGGUGUAGCGGUGAAAUGCAUAGAUAUCACGCAGAACACCGAUUGCGAAGGCAGCAUACGGGUGCGCGAUUGACGCUGAGGCACGAAAGCGUGGGUAUCGAACAGGAUUAGAUACCCUUGUAGUC